GUUAUUGUGAUGUUCAUGUAGAUUUAGGGCUUUUGAACCCAUUUGUGGCUAGAUCUAGUGUCCUCAUGGUCCCUUAGCGAGUUAAGGUCCUGGAUCUGGACCCAUAGAGGUCCAGAGCACCUCCUUACCAAAGCUUUAUAUGCAUCCAUGGAGGUAUUGGCUUGGGAUCAAUGUAUUUGAGGCUAAAACACCAUUCAUGAGCUAUUCAAUGCUUGAUGAGCAUCAAGACUUGGACUUUACGUGGUCAAUAAGCUUAAGGAGACUGGAUCUAUAAGUUAGUGAAGCGGAUCUGACCUCAGAAGGUCGUUUGGGGUUGUGCAUGGAAUGCACUCGCCGAGUCCAUUCCCCAGACUCGGCGAGUUGGUGCGGGUUGUUCAACGAUUUCGAACCAGGGGUUGAGUAACCGAGUCGGGUGAGUGACUCGGUGAGUCGGAAGAGAUUCAGAGGGAUCGGGUUCCCGUAGGAACUCGGCGAGUCCACGCCAGACUCGGCGAGUCGGGUUGACCGUUGACCGUUGACCGUUGACCGGUGUUGAUUGGUUUAACUUCGUGGUAUUAGUCAGCCAGAGUCAAGUAGUAUUCAGUAAAAAUACACCUGUGUUGUAGGAGGACGAUAGCUCGGGAGAUCGAGCACUAGUGGUUAAGAGAUUUACGAGUUACCGAGACACGCGAGGUGAGUCUUCUCACUAUACGUUACCUUGAGUGGUAUUAUGAGUUGACCAGAGGGUCUUAUGUGCUAUGUAUGAGAUUAUGUGCUAUUUAUGAGAUUGUAUGCUAUGUGUUAUUUGUAUGUUGUAUGACUAUAUAGACCGGACCGGAGGGUCCAACGAUUCAGAACGGGCCAGAGGGCCCAAUGAGCUAUGACUGGACCAGAGGGUCCGACGAGCUGCGGGACUGGAGGGUCCCGUUGAGACAUCUUGACCAGAGGGUCGGGUUUAGCCUCGAGUGGCGUAUUUGUGGUAUGUGGUAUUUUGGGGAACUCACUAAGAAUUAUGCUUACAGUUGUUGUGUUUGAUGUCUCAGGUACCAGCGAGGACCGUGGGAAGGUGGCGGCUUGACCCGUACACACUCACACCGAUGGAGUUCACAUUUGAGAGAUCUGGGGAAUUUGUUUUGAAAAAACUGUUGUUUCGGAUUUGAAAUGAUGAUAUGAUAUACAUUUGGUGGUUUUAAAAAUUAAAAAUUUAAUUGGAAUUUUACGUUGUUACAAGUUGGUAUCAGAGCCUUGGUUUAAGGGAUUCGGAUGCACAUUCGGGCNGAUGCACCUUCGGGCGUAUUUGAACUCAAACCGAGGAUUUGAGAAAUUUUCAAAUAAAACUAAAAUUUUCUAAAAAGAAAAAGAGGUUUUGGAAACGAGCAGAGUGGAAGGUGUGUACGGUCAGCCAGCGCCCGAACGGUGAAUCCCCAAAAUACCCUUACAUUAUAUGUUAUGAGUUAUGAGAUAUUAUGUUGUGCAUGUUAGAGACUCUAGGUAUUCCUAUUAGGACUAGAGUGGGCCUAAUUUGUGAUGCCUUAGCUUAGGAGAUCGUCGCUGCUAUGAGAUACUUUGAGAGUGAGUAGGUAGUAGAGAGGAGCUCAGGAGAGGGCUAUUGAGGGUAGCCAGUGCAUAGCGAGAGUAGAGUAUUUGCGAUUUGGGAUCCUAGGAGGAGGACUUGGGUUGUAUAUCGAUUCGGUGUGGACGAUAGUAUUGGGCCGGUACUAUUGAAGACACAGGAUUGGUGCGCAGUCCAAGUAAGAAUCCUUGGGGGUACCAGGAGAGAGGAUGUUUGAGUUAUCGAGUGUGAGUAUACUCGAGAGUAUCCCUGAUAUUUCUUAUGUUGUAUUUCAGAGGUUGAUCAUGGUCGGGACACGCCAUAACCCCGAGAGCAGUGGGGUGAGCGAUGAGGAGAUCCGUCGGAUCAUCCAUGAGGAGGUGGCUGCUGCCAUCAGAGCCGAGAUUCUGGAGAUGUUUGGGUCUAUUAAGACCACACUGAUCGAGACGUUUGACGAGCGUUACGCUGCUUUGACUGAUGCUGCUGUUGCUGCAGCCACCGCAGCUGUUGCUGCUGCGAGACCCCAGGGUGGUGAUUCGUUGCUGUACCGAGAGUUCAGCAACACGAAACCACCGGAGUUCGAUGGUACACAGGAUCCGAUCGCCGCUAUGAGGUGGAUCUCAGACAUAGAGGGGUGUUUCUAUACGUGCUCGUGUCCGGAGCACUUGAGGGUGCGAUUCGCACUCAACCAGCUUCGCUUGGGGGCGAAGGACAGGUGGAAAUUCGUGACCGCGAGCUAUUCUAUAGCUGAGCUGACUACAGUGACCUGGUAGAGGUUUACUGCGAUGUUUCGUGACGAGUAUGUUCCCCAGGUGGAGAGGGAACGUUUAGCUCAGGAGUUUCUGACCCUCAAGCAGGGGACAGAGUCGGUGACAGUGAUUACGAGGAUGUUUCAUGAGCGGGCGCUGUUUUGCCCGGAGUUGGUGUCCACUGAGCAGGCUCGCAUGAGCCGUUAUCUGAGUAUCUUGAGGAGGGACAUCCGUGAGUUCGUGGCGAACUCGACUUAUCAGACAUUUGCCGAGCUCCAGGCAAAUGCCAGGAAGAGGGAGAUCGAGCUUGAGACACAGGCGAGGGAGGAGACUGAGUUGCAUAGGGGUGAUCGGCGACCAGCGCAGUCGCAGCCGGCCGCCAAGCGAGCAAAGCCCGCUGAUUCGAGGACGAGCAGUUCGAGGGGCCGCACUUGUGGGAAGUGCGGCAAGAGCCAUGAUGGGUCUUGCAAGACUUGGGUAUGCUACAAAUGCGGGUAGGAAGGACAUUUUGCGAGGGACUGUCCGAAGGGGUUCUCGGUUUGCUUCCAUUGCAACCAGACCGGCCAUCAGAAGGCCGAGUGCCCCCAGCUUCAGAGGUCAGCGCAGGGAUCUGCACCUGCGGUUCGAGCUGCUGAGACCCGGCCAGUGAAGGCCGAAGCACCGAAGGCUAGGGGAGAGCCUUCCAACUGACUGCGGAGGAGGUCCGCGUAGCACCUGACGUCGUGGCAGGUAUGUAAUCUUUAUCUAUUUUAUGUUGAGUUUAUGAUAUUGUAAUUGCUAUAUGUUAUGCGUAGGUACCUUUCUUGUGAGUUCUGUACCUACAUUGGUUUUAUUCGACUCGGGUGUGAGUCGGUCUUUCAUAUCUUUAGGUUUUAGUCGGCACAUUAGUAUCUCGAGGGAGGCGUUGAGUCGACCUCUGCGGGUUUCCAUAGCAGAUGAGCGUGAGGUAUGUGCUAUUGAGGUGAUACGUGGAUGCAUGCUGGAGAUCUUCGGGGUGGAAUUCCCGAUUGAUUUGAUUCCGAUCGCUAUGGGGGAUGUUUGUGUCAUAGUAGGAAUGGAUUGGUUGAGCCGUUUUAGGGCUGUCAUAGAUUGCGAGCGUCAAUUGGUGACGAUCCGAGAUCCUAGUGGGGGAGCGCUGACGGUUUACGGCGAGGGGACUCGUUGUGGUUCGGUUUUCUGUUCGGCCGCUAGAGCGAGGCGGAGUUUGCAGCAUGGUUGCAAGGGGUUCGUAGCCUAUGUGAUAGAUGUGCGAGAGGCCGCUGGGAGGCCAAGUUCAGUGAAUGAGGUGCUGAUAGUGCGUGAGUUCCCGGACGUGUUUCCCGAGGAGUUGCCGGGUGUGCCUCCCGAGAGGCAGGUGGAGUUUCGUAUCGAUUUGGUUCCCGGGGCUGCGCCUAUCGCCAAGGCGCCGUAUCGGCUAGCACCGCCAGAGAUGCAGGAGUUAUCCUCACAGCUGCAAGAGCUGUUGGGGAAAGGGUUCAUCCGUCCCAGUAGCUCUCCCUGGGGAGCGCCGAUCCUUUUUGUCAAGAAAAAGGAUGGUUCACACCGGAUGUGCAUUGAUUACCGGGAGUUGAACAAGUUGACGGUCAAGAACCGUUAUCCGUUACCGAGGAUCGACGAUCUAUUCGAUCAGUUGCAGGGGGCGUCUUGGUUCUCCAAGAUUGACUUGAGAUCGGGAUAUCACCAGAUGAGAGUUCGGGAUGAGGAUAUCCAGAAGACGGCGUUUAGGACUCGUUACGGGCAUUACGAGUUCGUGGUGAUGCCAUUCGGGCUCACCAAUGCACCAGCGGCAUUCAUGGAUCUCAUGAACAGGGUGUGUAGGCCGAUGUUGGAUCGUUCAGUCAUUGUAUUCAUUGAUGACAUUCUGGUGUAUUCGAGGACCAGAGAGCAGCAUGAGGAACAUUUGAGGGAGCUCCUCGGAGUUCUGAGAGCGGAGAGGCUUUUCGCCAAAUUCUCCAAGUGCGAUUUUUGGUUACGGGAGGUCCAGUUCUUAGGGCAUCUCGUUAACUAGGAUGGGAUUUUGGUUGACCCGGCCAAGAUCGAGGCUGUGAUGAGUUGGGAGGUGCCGAGGUCACCUACGGAGAUCAGGAGCUUCUUAGGGCUGGCAGGCUACUAUCGGAGAUUUAUCAGAGAUUUCUCCAAGAUCGCCGUGCCACUUACCAAGUUGACCCGGAAGGGUGUUACUUUCUCAUGGGGUCCAGAGCAGCAAACCUCGUUUAAAACCCUUCGUCAGAGAUUGUGUGAAGCUCCUGUACUCGCACUACCAAAAGGGAUGGAGGAUUUCGUGGUGUAUUGUGAUGCUUCGAUAUUGGGGAUGGGAGCGGUGUUGAUGCAGAGAGGGCAUGUGAUCGCGUAUGCAUCGAGGCAGUUGAAGCCUCAUGAGACGAGAUAUCCCACCCACGAUUUGGAGUUGGGGGCUGUAGUGUUUGCCCUCAAGAUCUGGCGUCACUAUCUGUAUGGGGUUCGGUGUACGAUAUACACUGACCACAAGAGCUUAAAGUACUUGAUGGAUCAGCCAAACCUGAAUAUGCGCCAGAGGAGAUGGUUGGAUGUGGUGAAGGAUUAUGAUUGUGAGAUCCUGUACCACCCGGGCAAGGCUAAUGUCAUAGCCGACGCUCUGAGCCGUAGGUCGGAGAGCGCCCCGAUACGAGACAUUUGUAUGAGGUUGACGGUGAUGACUCCGGUAUUGGACACCAUCCGAGGGGCCCAGGCUGAGGCUGCGAGACCAGAGAACCGAAAGCGGGAGCGGGUCGUUGGGCAGGUGUCGGAGUUCGUUACCGAUAGUCGGGGGCUUAUGACGUUUCAGGGUCGGAUUUGGGUACCGUUUGUGGGCGGGACGCGUACCAUUUUGAUGGAGGAGGCGCAUCGAUCGAAGUUCUCGAUCCAUCCCGGGGCUACCAAGAUGUAUUUGGACCUAAAGAAGGAGUAUUGGUGGCCCUGUAUGAAGAGGGAUGUUGCUUGGUUCGUCGAGAGGUGCCUAACUUGUCGCCAAGUUAAGGCCGAGCACCAGCGUCCGCAUGGUAAGCUGCAGCCGUUGGAGAUUCCCGAGUGGAAGUGGGAACAGAUUACCAUGGAUUUUAUCACCAAAUUGCCAAGGACUGCGAGAGGAGUCGAUGCAAUUUGGGUGAUUGUGGACAGGUUGACGAAGAGCGCUCAUUUUCUUGCUAUCAGUGAGAGCUCUUCUGCUGAGAGGUUGGCCGAGUUGUAUGUGAGGGAAGUGGUAUCACGGCAUGGGGUUCCGUUGUCGAUCGUUUCAGAUCGAGACGUGCGAUUUACUUCCAGAUUUUGGAAGAAGUUCCACGAGGAGUUAGGUACGAGGCUGCAUUUCAGUACCGCAUACCACCCGCAGACGGACGGACAGAGCGAGCGGACGAUUCAGACGCUUGAGGAUAUGCUCCGAGCAUGUGUUUUGGAUUUUGGAGGGAGUUGGGACACCUAUCUACCCUUGGCAGAGUUUUCGUACAACAACAGCCAUCAUUCGAGCAUCGGUAUGCCACCCUUUGAGCUGUUGUAUGGGAGGAGAUGUCGUACCCCUAUUUGCUGGGGUGAGGUAGGGCAACGCGUGAUGGGUAGUACGGAGAUAGUGCUUCAGUCGACAGAGCAGAUCCAGCAGGUCAGGCAGAGGUUGUUGACCGCUCAGAGUCGCCAGAAGAGUUAUGCAGAUAGACGUCGAACCGAGCUCGAGUUCCAGGUCGGUGAUUAUGUUCUCCUGAAGGUAUCUCCUUGGAAAGGAGUGAUCCGAUUCAGGAAGAGGGGCAAGCUAGGACCCCGGUAUAUUGGACCGUUUCAGGUGAUCGCGAGGGUGCGCAGGGUAGCAUAUCGCUUGGAGCUACCCGAGGAAUUGGAGCGGAUUCAUAAUACCUUCCAUGUGUCUCAGUUGAGGAAGUGUAUAGCCGACGAGUCGGCGGUAGUACCGUUAGAGGACAUUCAGGUGGAUGCGAGCCUGAACUACGCGGAGAGACCAGUUGCGAUUGUGGAUCGAAAGAUCAAGGUUCUGCGGAACAAGGAGGUACCCUUGGUUUUGGUUCAGUGGCAACAUCGGAAGGGGUCCGAGAUGACUUGGGAACCGGAGCGUGAGAUGCGUGAGCAGCAUCCGGAGUUAUUUGCAGAGCGAGACUUCGAGGGCGAAGUCUAGUUCUAGUGGGGGAGAAUUGUAACAGCCCGGAUUCCCAGGUAUUAUUCAUUUAUUUAUUUUGGUAAUUUGUGAGGAGACUCGGCGAGUUGGAGCCUAGACUCGCCGAGUAUGAUCGCGGAUUUGGACGCGGGUUCGCGUCCGGACUCGGCGAGUCCACGCUGUUUAAUGAAACCCUAAUUUCUCGGGUUUGAGGCAUAUUUAAAGGGCCUUAUGGUCGUCAUUUGCACUCAUCAGUCCCUAGAGUGAAACCCUAGAGCGAUUGAGUGAUUCAAGUGAGGGAAGGAGCUAUUAUUGAUCUUGGAGUUGUUGUCUAGCAAGGAAAGAGGAGAUCUAGCCAAGAGGAAGCAAGAGAGGGGUGGAUUCUUGAAGGCUUGAGGUCCAGAACAUCACAACUGAGGUACAAUCUCGAAUCAUUCGCUGUUAUUGUGAUGUUCAUGUAUAUUUAGGGCUUUUAAACCUAUUUUAGCUAGAUCUAGUGUCCUCAUGGUCCCUUAGCGAGUUAAGGUCCUGGAUCUGGACCCAUAGAGGUCCAGAGCACCUCCUUACCAAAGCUUUAUAUGCAUCCAUGGAGGUAUUGGCUUGGGAUCAAUGUAUUUGAGGCUAAAACACCAUUCAUGAGCUAUUCAAUGCUUGAUGAGCAUCAAGACUUGGACUUUACGUGGUCAAUAAGCUUAAGGAGACUGGAUCUAUGAGUUAGUGAAGCAGAUUUGACCUCAGAAGGUCGUUUGGGGUUGUGCAUGGAAUGCACUCGCCGAGUCCAUUCCCCAGACUCGGCGAGUUGGUGCGGGUUGUUCA
rnacentral:lncRNA from 1 species